rnacentral:lncRNA from 1 species
AUGAUCUUUACUAAAACUAUGCUUGAGCACUCAAACAUGAGAGGUUCACUAUCCAAAUUGUGAGAUUUUUUCUUUAAAUCCAAAAUCCAAAUUUAUGGGUUUGGUAAAAUUAGGGUUUAUGAAAUUUGGGGAUUUUGAAUUUUGUGAUUAGAAGAUGGAAGUGAAAAUAUUUAAGGAAUUUGAAGGUUUAUUUGGAUGGACAAUUUUUUUGAUUUAAGGAAGAAGAUGAAGAUGAUGAAUAUGAGGAUGAAAUGUUUAUAG